CUAAGUCAAUGUAAACAAUUUAAAAUUUCUAAGUUAAACUACCAGUGUAAAUAAAGUCCAAAAUCCUUCAACUUUCUUCUCAAUACUAAAAUGCCAAAAGAGUACUCACAGUUAUAUCCGUUUCACUCACACACUAUCACAAUAGACGGCAAACUCUUCAUCCAACACGAACUUCUUCGGGCUCCGACACGAACUCCUUAGGGCUCCAACACGACUCCCUUAGGGCUCUCCACCAGAUGGCGCCACCUCAGCGCAGCACCACCAUCAUCAUCUCCUGAUCUUCCUCAACCAGUUGGUUGCCCUGACAGCACCACAGCUGGUACUGUCAAACUGAUGUCAACAGCUCCUAGCUGACCCAGCUUCUUGACCUGUCCUGUUUGUGACAGCGAUCCACUGUCCAGGACGUCACCCCCCUCCAAAAAUGCACAAAGUGUAAUCCCGGUACCUGCACCGUUACCAGUGCCCAAUGGACAUCAGCUUCCUGAUGAUAUCCGGCUCGAAGGACCAUGAAUAAACCACGGAUACUCUCGGCGCACUUAAGGGACUCUUAUCUAGGUAUAAAUAAGACGUCAAUAUUUAGGUGACAAUUUAUUGCUUGUCACAGGUUGUCAAUGGUUCACAAUGGUUGUCAAAGGUACACAGAUGUCAAAAUACUCCAGGUAUAUAAAGCCAAGGAAAAAAAUCUGGACACCGCGGUACAGCUUUACGCGUCUCAAAGUACAGUGACAUCUCUCGGCAAAUAAUACAAACAAGUUUCAUGGAAGGUUUAUACAUAUCGCCCACCAAGGACCGUCCUAGGUCCUUAACAACAGGAAAACCAAAUGAAACUUAGGCGAAUGCAUCGCCCACCAUGAAACAGGUUACGGUACACAUUAACAAUAAACAUAAAAUAAACCAUGUAAAAAACCAUUGUACCGUAAAAUAAUAAAAACACUUUCAAUAAACUUAAAACCUUAAAACUAAAUAAACUACAAUUAUUUAGCCUUAGGAAGGAGACCAAAUCUUAAAACCUUGAAACUAACAACUCUAUCAUCGUCGUUACCGGGAUGAACCACAAUCACCCUGCCACUGAGCCAAGACCCGUAGCUAGUUGUCCUCCUUUAUGACAACUAAAUCAUCAACUGUUAGGUUGAGGAAUUUGCAUAGAUAGUCCACUUCUUUCUUUCCCUUACGACGUUCAUGAAGCUGUGAUUCUUACAAGUCUCCAACCAAAUCGCAACAUGUUGUUAACAACGGGAAAAGGAUUCAAGAACCGGAGAAACUACGAUGGGUAAGUAUCAAUUUUCGUUUUACCUUUCAACAUCAGCACUAAAGUUCUCAGAUUGGCAUGCAACUAUACAACCCAUAGCCUUCUAUAUCUCUACUGUUGUUGAAAACCCAUCACAUUUCCCAAGCGUAUCCCUUUUAUUUUAACCUUCCUUUUUGUUUCAGGACCUCCGUAGGUCUGCACGUCGACCUUGUAGCGGUAUACGUCAUCUUCACUUCGGUUCCAGGUGUUUGCAGAUAGUUCUUCACAACAGGAUCUUUAUUCUUCACCGGAAGACGACGCACAAUGUAUCGACCAGUGUCAUCUCUACGAUUAGUUCUGGUAAAGUAUCCAUCACGUGUCUUUUGAUCUUCUGUAUUCGUUCUUUUCUUUGGCAACGGAAUGUCAUCUUCUAGCUUCCUAAACUGAUUAUCCUCCACGCUACAGUGCAUCACAUUUAUUGUUUCAGAAGGCUUCAUGGGCGUGUGAACAACACCAGACAAAAUCCACCCCAAUGACGAACACUGAGCAAGUGGUGAACCAAGCGGUCCUUUGAUGACUCCGUUUUGAAUUACCCGGCUAUAUACUUCUGACCCCAACAACAAAUCCACACUGUUAGAAGUAUAAUAGCUCGGAUCCGCGAGGACAAUGUCCUCAAGCUCCUUCCAUUCCUCCGAUCUUAUUUUUCGGUUAGGCAAAAGCGAAGUGAUGGACCCUAGUACAUAAGCUUUCACUGUGAUAAUAAAGUUUGGAUCAAUCCGUGAUGCUAUUUUUAUUUCAACCAUCGACUUUGUCGUGAGCCCGUUCGUGCCACCUACUCCUACUAUUUGCCCUUUAGCUGGAAUCUUCUUCAAACCCAAUAAUUCAACCAUGGCCUCUGUAAUAAAAGAGGAUUGGGACCCUUGAUCCAGCAGAGAACGAAUAGUAUAAGUUUGGCCGUGUUUCGAUACAGUAUCUACAAGUGCCGUCGCUAGCAAAACCUGGCUAUAAUCCACAGUGCUUCUUGUAGACGUACAGGAAAUAACAGCACCAACUUUCUUGGUAUCAGCCGUAGUAACCUCCCCGUUUUGGGGUUCCUGAGCAGCAAUCUUGUUCGUAGGAUGCAGCAGAGUGUGGUGCUUCCUCUUGCAGAUGCGACACUUGUAUUUGCUGUGGCAGAAUUUGGCAGAGUGAUUAUUUCCGAGACAACAAAAACAAACAUUAUGGGAUGCAACAAAUUCGCGACGUAAUUCCACUGACUUAUCCCUAAAUUCUUUACACGUGCUCAAUUUGUGCUCCUUCUUACAAAAGGGACAGACUAACAUGGCAACGUGCAUGGUUUUCAUUUUGAAAACAGGUAAGGUUUUAUUAGGGAUCAGUUUGGAUCCUGAACUCAAAAAUUCAAGGGCGCGGUAACGGUUUUUAAGAAACUGUUCGAACUGGUCGUAAGUUGGUAGCUCGGUAGAGUUAUUAUUCGCGAUGCUAAACUCCCAUUGCCUUUUUGAUUCAGGGUCCAACUUUAAAGUUAUUAUAUGGAUUACCAGCACGUCCCAGGUACUCGUAUCUAUGCCAAUAUUAGAUAGAGCGGACAAACAAUCGUUUGUGGUAUCCAUCAACCCUUUCAACCCACUAGCCGACUCACAAGUUACAUUUUUCUGGCUUAGCAGUCUUUUCAAAAUGUGAUGACAGAUGUACCGUUUGUUGUUGUACCUCUCGUCUAAUAAACCCCAACAAUGCUCGUAAUUACUAUCGGUAAUCGGAAUGUUACAUAAAAGUUGCUCGGCUUCACCCUGUAAGUACCCCUUUAAAUACAAUAAUUUUUGAGCAUUUCCUAAUGUCUUGUUCGAGUGUAUCAAAGACUGGAAUAAGUCUCGGAAGGUGUUCCAUUCCGAGUACUUUCCUGAGAAGAUCGGAAUAUUUACUUUUGGCAAUUUAACAUUAGGCGCCUGUAGAGAGGGCUGGUUAGAAUCAGUGUUGGAAGUACCUGUGAUUAUAAUUAAUUUAGCUAAAGCUCCUUUCAAUUUACAUUUAUAAUCAAUAUAGCAAUCUUCUGUUUUGUCAUAAGUAUCGUCUUGCAUAUAGGUCGAUCCAGAUAACAAUUUAGGUUCCGUAGUGCGCAACAAUUCCUUAUGACCCAACAGAAAUUCACUCCACAAACCUUCAAGUAGUUCCAACUUUCCUUCUAAAUACUCCUUGGUCAAACGCUCAUUCGGACCUUUUUGGAAAUUCGUCUUAGCUUUUUUUAUUCUUGACGCAAGGUCAAACUGACAAUUUUGUAAUCGUUCCAUCAUAAAUGACAGUUAAAUUAAAAUGUAAACAAACUUCCAAAAAAUAGUAAAAAAUUCUAAGUGUUUGACAAUUCUAACAGAAAUUGGGCAUAGGUUCCCCGUAGCAACCGCUUUUUCAAAACUAUUCUAAGUCCU